UUUCACCUCACUUUACCUUUUUCCCUUCUCAGACUCAUCCACACACCCUCAAUCUCUUUCCCCCUUUCACCUUCCUUUAACGUCAGAUUCACCCGAACAACCUGCUCCGAAUUGAACUCUGGCCACCGUUGAAGAUCACGCGAACAACCUGCUCAGAUUUGAACCCCAGCCACCGUCGAACAAGCCCUAACCAUGUCUGCUCAGGACAAAAAACCCCUAAUCACCAUCUCGAAAUCGAUUGCCAAAUUGUGUCUAAUAGUUAAAAGAGAGUGAAAGAGAGGAACAGAGAAAGAGAUGGAGAGUCGGUAGAUUACGGCCAAGUUUUCGGUCGUUGAUGCCACUUCCGACACGUGGAUCGGCUCAACCUUGGUACAAGAGGAUGGGGAUUUUUACCGUCCAAAACUAAAGCACAAAGGCUGGAAUUUAUAUGAUUAAAGACCCAUUUUAAUCAAUAGCGGUCCCUAAUCUUGAUAAAGAGAUAAUUAAGAAGCAGGUCAAAAUAUUCAAGAGGCCCUAAAGUGGAAAAGAUGCAACAAGGAAAAAUGGUAUAAGCUAAAGGUAUUGAUUCUGGUGUUAGGAAAAAUUUAAAGGGUGUCUCUCUUAUGCCUAAUAUUGGUUACGAGUCAGACAAAAAGACCCACCAUUUUCUUCCAACUGGUACUAAGAAGUUUGUGGAAUUGUGGUGCAUAAUGCCAAAGAGUUGGAACUUUUCAUGAUGCACAACAGGUUGGCGAGAAAAAGAUGAUUACACGAAUGCGGAUGUUGAUGGAAUACGCGAACAAGGGUUGAGUUUUGAGAUGAUUUUUAUUUUUAGGUGACAAACAAUUUCUUCAAACGUUAUUUUUGUUAACGUUAAGAUAUUUGUAGUAUACUUAUAAAUGAUUAUGCAAUGGGUUGUUUUGAUAUAUAUAUUUAUUUUGUUAUGAAAUUGAUUUA